GGAGUAUCGACCCUCUCUGUGCCGAAGCUAACGCUUUAAGUACCCCGCCUGGGGAGUACGGUCGCAAGACUAAAACUCAAAGGAAUUGACGGGGGCCCGCACAAGCAGCGGAGCGUGUGGUUUAAUUCGAUGCUACACGAAGAACCUCACCAGGGCUUGACAUGUUAGAAGUAGUGAUCCGAAAGGGGAACG
rnacentral:rRNA from 1 species